AACACCAGGAAAACCUUGGCCUCCAUACAGCCUACAAACAUGGCAGAACUUGCUCUCUGUACACAGGACAGCCUACAAACCCAACAAAAGUGAUGCAGAGAAGAAGAUAACAACCUGACCAUCUUCUCCAGAGUAGGAAAGAAUAAGAUACAGGUUUGAGGUGCAGCAUGGAUAUAAAGUGAGAAAAAAAAGACAACCAGUAAACAUAAGGAGAAGGCAAUCCACUCCACAAAGGCACCUGGGUUACUUAGUCUCACACAAAACCCAAGAGAACACACAACCCCAGUCCUCAUCACAAAGAGCUCCAGCACACCCAUGGGAAGAGGAAGGUGCCACGAGGCAGCCAGGAGGCAGCCAGCCUUUGAGGAAUAGUGACCAACACCUCCUCCACCAAUGCACAUAUUCCAACAAAUUCUGGCAACAUCUUUGAAAAUCAUCAAUAUGGGGAAGACAGUUGCAUACAGAAAGAGAGGCACAUCCGGAGUCCAAGAGGCUACACCAGCAAAGCAUCCAUGGGCGCUCUCUCAUGUCUGCCUUCCUCUGCCGUGCGGUGCACCUACUUCUGUACUUAGGUCUCUGCUACCAUCUUUAGCCCAUGGUUUCUUAAAACUGAUGGGUGCCGAAA